rnacentral:rRNA from 1 species
UACGGAGGGUGCAAGCGUUGUUCGGAAUUAUUGGGCGUAAAGCGCGUGCAGGCGGUCGGGUAAGUCAGAUGUGAAAGCCCUCCGCUUAACGGAGGAAGUGCAUUUGAAACUGUUCGGCUAGAGUACGGGAGAGGAGAGUGGAAUUCCCGGUGUAGAGGUGAAAUUCGUAGAUAUCGGGAGGAACACCAGUGGCGAAGGCGGCUCUCUGGUCCGAUACUGACGCUGAGACGCGAAAGCGUGGGGAG